rnacentral:lncRNA from 1 species
CAGGCUGCCAUGUUGGAGACACCCACAGAGCCAGGAACUGAGAGUGGGCUCUGGGCAACAGCCUGCAAGGAACUUGAGGAUGCUAACAACCACAUGAACUUAGAAGUGCAGCCUUCCCCAGUCAAACCUUGAGAUGCCUACAGACCCUUGACCCCUUGCAUACAGCCUGUGAGAGACCCUGAAACAGAGGACCCAGAAAAGGACAUCAGGACGUACAGCGAGAGACACCAGGGAGAUGCUUGCACAGAGAAAAAGAUCACUGAGGACACAGUAAGAAGGCAGCCACCUACAAGCCAAGGGGAGAGGCCUCAAGAGAACCCACACCUGCCAACGCCUUGAUCUUGGACAUCCAGGCUCUAAAACUUUUCAGAGAUGCAGUUCAUAAAAGAAGACUGGCCCUGAGCUAACAUCCAUGCCCAUCUUCCUCUACUUUAUAUGUGGGACACCUACCACAGCAUGGCUUUUGCCAAGUGGUGCCAUGUCCACACCCGGGAUCCGAACCGGUGAACCCCAGGCUGCUGAGAAGUGGAAUGUGUGAACUUAACCUCUGCACCAC